CUCACUGGCUGACAGGACAGAGUCACAGGACGUUCCAAGCAUAGAUUCCAUGGUACCAGUCUUACAAGACUGCAGUUCCUGUUUGUUCUCUCAAACUUGAACCUGGCCCAGGCUCCCGUGGUUGGUGCUGAUGCCCGCUGAUGAAUGCUGAUGUGUCUCAGGAUCCUCAGCUAGAAACAAGCAUCCAGGAACAAAGAAGGAGGGCCCUUUUAUUUUCUAUAUUCUCUAAUUGUAUAGUAAUUAUUCAUCUACACUAAGAAUGAGGACCAGGCUGACUCUGCCUCCUGGACGGCUAAUGGCUCUGCUGCCAUACAGAAUAUGAACCUCCCUCUCUUGCCAAUAUGACUCUAUCCACCCAACUUUCAAGGUCUCCUGAAAGCUUGCUGUCUCUAGUAUCUCUGCAAAUCCUCAGCAUGAUGUGGAGGCCAGAGUUAAUAUCAAUGGGGAAGAGCCAAAGACUUGCUGCUUACUUUGCACCUAUAUAUUAACAGGUAUCCAGUGUUUAUAAUGUAUGUGCGGUAUUUGUAAUUUGUUUCCAUGCCUCUAAUCCUGCCUCUCCAAUCCACCACAGGAACAACACUGCCAAGUGCAAAUCACAUAGACAUUACUGAAAUGUGAAGGAGGACAAAGAGAACCAGAGAAAAAGCCUGGGCAAACUACAUGAGAAGCCGCUCUUCUAUAAAGCUGCCAGGAUGUCAGCCAAUAAAUCCCCUAUAAUACUGAACCAUGCUAAGCUGGGUUUUCUGGUACAGUCAAAGGCACCCUUGAAUCAGACUUGGGAAAAUAUCUGCCACACAUAAUGAUUACUACUGAAUAAAUAUCUGCUCAAUUAAACUCCAUGGUAGAUGUACCCUGGGAAAUGUGCAGAGUUAGAAGCCGAGGCUGCUCUAGUGCCCCGGGCACAAUCUUCUUUGUGCUUGUGCCAGGUGUCUGGGGGCCAGGUGAGUCCUUCAUGAACAGACAUGGCUUCUCCGCAGGGCUACUUUGAGGAGGCCAAAUACCUGGGCUUAAGUCCAGGGUUCCUCACCUUUGACCAAAGCCUGGCUCCUUCGUAACCACAUGUGUGACUCUGGGUAAGUCAUAUAACCA